rnacentral:rRNA from 1 species
CAGCCGCGGUAAUUCCAGCUCCAAUAGCGUAUAUUAAAGUUGCUGCAGUUAAAAGCUCGUAGUUGAAUUUCGGGACCAUCAUGUCGGUCGUGCCUCGGUACGUACUGGCAUUGUUGGUUUCCCCCUUCUGAAGAACCAUGAUGUCAUUAAUUUGGUGUCUUGGGGAAUCAGGACUGUUACUUUGAAAAAAUUAGAGUGUUUAAAGCAGGCUCGCGCUUGAAUACAUUGGCAUGGAAUAAUGAAAUAGGACGUUUGAUUCUAUUUUAGUUGGUUUCUAGGGAUCGACGUAAUGAUUAAUAGGGAUAGUUGGGGGCAUUAGUAUUCAAUUGUCAGAGGUGAAAUUCUUGGAUUUAUUGAAGACUAACUACUGCGAAAGCAUUUGCCAAGGAUGUUUUCAUUAAUCAAGAACGAAAGUUAGGGGAUCGAAGACGAUCAGAUACCGUCGUAGUCUUAACCAUAAACUAUGCCGACUAGGGAUCGGAUGAUGUUAAUUUUUAAUGACUCAUUCGGCGCCUUACG